rnacentral:SRP_RNA from 1 species
GCCGGGUGCAGUGGCACGUGCCUAUAGUCCCAGCUACUCAGGAGGCUGAGGCUGGAGGAUCACUUGAGCCCAGGAGUUAUGGGCUGUGGUGCGCUAUGCCGAUCAGGUGUCCACACUAAGUUCAGCAUCAAUACAAUGACCUCCCGGGAGCGGGGAACCACCAGGUUGCCUAAGGUGGGGUGAACUGGCCCAGGUUGGAAAUGGAGCAGGUCAAAACUCCCAUGCUGAUCAGUAGUGGGAUCGUGCCUGUUAAGUAGCCCCUGCACUCCAGCCUGGGCAACAUAGAGAGCCUGUCUCU